AUUGAACGCUGGCGGCAUGCCUUACACAUGCAAGUCGAACGGCAGCACGGACUUCGGUCUGGUGGCGAGUGGCGAACGGGUGAGUAAUACAUCGGAAAAUAACUUGUAGUGGGGGAUAACUAUCCGAAAGGAUAGCUAAUAACGAAUACGAUAUAAGGAAGAAAGCGGGGGCUCUGCGGACCUCGUGCUAUAAGAGUGGUGGAUAUCUUAUUAGCUAGUUGUUGAGGUAAAGGCUCACCAAGGCGACGAUCAGUAGCUGGUCUGAGAGGACGACCAGCCACACUGGAACUGAGACACGGUCCAGACUCCUACGGGAGGCAGCAGUGGGGAAUUUUGGACAAUGGGGGCAACCCUGAUCCAGCAAUGCCGCGUGAGUGAAGAAGGCCUUCGGGUUGUAAAGCUCUUUUGUCAGGGAAGAAACGGUUGUGGCUAAUAUCCAUGGCUAAUGACGGUACCUGAAGAAUAAGCACCGGCUAACUACGUGCCAGCAGCCGCCGUAAUAC
rnacentral:rRNA from 1 species